rnacentral:rRNA from 1 species
AAAAUAAAAAUAAGUGGAAAAGGAUGUGGCGUUGCCCAGACAACUAGGAUGUUGGCUUAGAAGCAGCCAUCAUUUAAAGAGUGCGUAAUAGCUCACUAGUCGAGUGACA